ensembl:lncRNA
AUGCCACUUUGUUCUACAAUUCAAGUUUACUUCAUUGGGUUAGAAAAGCUUAAACACUACUUAUUUCCUUAUUUCCAUGGUACAAGAAUCCUUAAUUGUCUUCCCCUUCUUUCCUCUCAGGAAGUGAUGAAGCCUUGUGAAUUACAAGAUCCACAACUGAGACAGCGGAUCAGAUACUGCUUAAACAAACCUGCUUCCAGGCAGAAGAGGAAAACAACUGCAGUAUUCCAGCCUUCUUUUGGGCCAGGGCAUGGACAUAUCACCCAGUUCUGGCUCACAAUUUCUAAAGGAAGUCUCCUAGUAUAGAAAUCCUUAAGAAAGACACAUACAUUACAAAACUGCUCUUCUUUCUUUUCUCUGAGUAUGUCUGGGUAAAGACAUGGUAUGUGGAGACACAUCAGCCAACGUGGAACCCUGAGAGGAGAAAGCUGAAAGUGAAAGCCAACACACUGAAGGAUGUCCCAGCAGAAAAGUGAUGGGAAUGCCUGAGUCCUUGAUGACUUCAUCUCAACUUCAACUAAAUAAACAAUAAAUUUCUGUAUGAUUUGAGCUACA